rnacentral:misc_RNA from 1 species
AAGUCGUAACAAGGUUUCCGUAGGUGAACCUGCGGAAGGAUCAUUAACACGUAUCCAAACGUUAAAACCCCCCCGUGAACCUUCAUCCUGCUCUUGUAACCCGCGUAGUUCGCAAUCUCUGAUAAAUCAUAGCCCGGAAAGUUGUAGUGAUUCAGAGACCUCUGGCUACGUGCGAACAUUGGAACAGUUACAAACGAUUGGGUAAAAAAACCGAACAACUGUUAACAAUGGAUAUCUUGGUUCUC